GCGAAUAAAAUGUACUGUAAUUAAAGUUUUGUAAAAGUUGAUAAAUGCAUUUCUAAUUCACACACAAUUUAGUACUAGAAUUUAUCAACCAAGAAUAGAGAUGUUUCUGAUUACAUUUUGAUCUGCUACACAUUAUAUUUUCCAUGCUAAAAGGACUUGGUGCAUUGUUACUCUCUUGUUCUUGUUUUUCGUCAUGGAUAUCAUUAAUUCUGCGGGUAAUUCUUUUCUCAAACCCAAUUAACUAAGACUGAUUGACGAGUUGCAGUGGAUUGCUCCUCAACUUUUGGAACCUGGUCCCAAACAGACUCAAACAACAAUAACUAGGAGAAAACUAAACAAUAAAGUGUGUGGAGAAGGUAACAAGCAAACACAACAAUAUUUACGUGGAAACUCCUAACUCAAGGGAGAAAAACCACGACCUGCCUCCAGAAUUUCUAAAGCUCCUCUAUACCCAAUCAAACUUGAAUACAGUUUCCAGACUUCAAGGAUUAAACUCCUAAUCUUUUAUCUCCUAUUAAUAACUCUAUUACAAAGACACACUAGCAUUAACUCUACUACUACACCUUUCAGCUAACUCUAACCGGAAGACAAGCUAACUCUUGCUUGAAAAAUCACCUAACUCUAGAUGAUUACAAAGAAAUGGGUUUUACACCACAACACUUGCUAAUAAUCUUACAGGCAACAGUAGGCAAACAUUUAAUACAUAUUACAAAGACUCAAAUACAACAAGAAAAUAAAGUACAACUUUUUGAGCUAUCAAUUCCCUAUUGCAAAAGGAGACUUUGAUUCAAAAUUUCAAGAGAGAUAUUCGUUAUAAGUAUAUGGAAGCAUAGUUUUCUUGUUGAAAAGAAUGAGAAAUAUAUAGUAUGACACAGGAAAACCUAGAAAUAAUCUCAUUGGUUGAGACAAAAAGGUUACAAUAACUUUUCACCAACUUUUUGUACUUCCAUCUAGCUGUGGGGUUGAGUGUGUUAGUGAAAGGUAAGCCCAACCUAUUCCCUAAGUAGUAGCAACUUUAAUCAUCACACAAUCUUUAGGGAACAGGUCCCAAUAUGCAAUUUGUCAUAUCAUCAAAACUAAGAACUUAGCAAUUUUUCCUUUUUGAUGAUGACAAACCCAUGCAUGUCUUCAACAUCUUCAGUCAUCCACAAAGUACACAUCAUACACAGCAAGACUCAGUAACUCAUGCCUUCAAUCCUUUUUCUCCAUCUGUUCUCCAUGUCAUUUAUACCCUAAGCCUCUCCCACUUAUUCCCCCUGAGUGUGAGGAUCCUGUAUCUUCAUUCACUACCCCGUUCCCUCUUUGCACACUACACAAUGAGCAAUGCACAACAACACCUCCACAUCAUACUAAUACUAUGCACAACUAUACCUCAACUUCCCUCUUUAUAGAUGAGCAUACAUGUUAAUCCAUGGCCAUUAAGGCCACACUUACAUGAGCAAGAAAGAUUAGACUAAAUAAGAAAAGGAAUAGCAUAAAGAUAAUCCAUUCAUUAAUCAAGCCAAGGCAGUAUCAAUAACUAUUCAAAGUAGUGGCUGCCAAAAACAUAAUAAGUGUUCCAGUUAUAGUCAGAGUCAACAAAAAGAAACAUAGGAAAAACAGAGAUACAUAGGCUUAAGAAGAAGGUUUGAGAGGAAAAAAGUGAGGACUAGGUUGGGAUGGAUUCUAGAAAGAAGGAUCAGAAGCACAAGACAACUGUCUAAGGAGGAUUUUCAUCCUCUCACUCUCAACAACAUGUGCUUUGAGAAUCUACUGAGUCAAAUCUCUAUUCUUUGCAAGUAAGGCCUCAAUCUUUGCUUCCAGCUUCUUCACCUUUUCUUUUAGGAAAAUAUUUUCAGCACUUAGUUUCUCAUCUGAACCUGUUUACACUUCUUCUCCUUUCACAGAUGCUACAAUUAGUGUAGCAAUCUCUAAAAUCUCUUAGAGAAACCAAAGAAAUCAUAGAAUCAAGCUCUUCCCUUAAACUAACCUGAACAUCUACUAACUCAGAGACUAGAGACUUGGAUUUUUCACCUUCCUUUCUUGGAACACACUCAUUGUCCUCUAGGGUGGUCAUGUUGAACAUUUGCUUGACAGAUCUAACUUUGCCUUUUCCAUACACCACAUUAAAGUAGGAAAAAAUUCCACUAAGACAGAAACCAUAAGUCAAACCAUGCUUCCUAUCCUUGGAAAUUAUCACAGUGUGCAUAUAUUUAAUUACAAUUUAUUUGGACCAAACUUUCAUGAGAAAAAAGUUAGGCCACAAUGGUUCUCUUUUCAGAUUUGGGGAGGAGUGAUUUGUUUACCAACUCAAAAAGCAUUUGGUAUUCACUUCUCAGAGCCUUUUUGUUCACAUUCUUGAUAUUCAUGUCAUCAAGUCUCCCACAGAUCUCCAAAACCAUCAGAAAUCCUUUCUUUUUUUUCAAGGACUUGAUCCCUUCUAUAGGAACUCCCAAUAUCUCAGAUAGUACUUACUUAUCUAUGACUAUGUUAACCUCAUUGACAUGAGAAAUCAUGUACAAGCCAUCUUCAAAAAAUAUCAAAUUAUGAUAAAACAUGCACACUUCAUUUUUAUGUAGGGUGGAACAGGUCCCUCAAACAAAUGCUCCUAAUUUUGGAACAAUACAAUCAACUCCUUCAUCCUAGUUAACUCAACUACAGUCGGAUCAAACAUUCUUCCUCUCAAAACUUCCUGAGUCUUCAAAAUUUCCAAUCUUGACUUCCUGGACAACCCUUUCUCUUUCCCAAUAGAUAUAGAUGCCUUUCUUGAAAGAUAGUUUCCUUAGCAGAAGACCCAUGGGUUACUGAGGUCUUUGCUAACUUGGGACUAGGACCUGGUCCCUUGUCACCAACCUUUGCUGACCUUUUUCUUUUACCAGUGGAUUUUGACAUUGGUUUUUUCAACAGGACACCUUCCCCUUUCUUUGGAGAGACUAUUCCUUUUCCUUUCACUUUGGCUCUAAGAAACCACACCUCUUUCUACAUUAGAGUCAAUAUCAUCACUGUUAAACAUACUGUCAUCAUUAUCAUCUGGCAAACUUCUAGGAAGACUAUCAUAAUCACUAUCCCUACUAUCAUCAGGAUCACUUUUAGUGUUUUUAUCAAUAUGCUUCACUUCUACUAUCCUUUUUACAACUGACUCAAUUAUGUCUAUACCCUUUUCUUUUCCAUCGUUCCCUUAUUGGUAUUACUUUUAUUUUUCUCCAAGGCUUCCUUCAUCAGAUACCUAGGACUUGACCUGGUCCUUGAUGGCUUGACUGUUCCAGAGGAAGCCUUGGUAGAAGAAGAUGAUCCUUUCUUAGAUAUUUUCCAAGACAUGGAUCUAUCAUCAUCACUGUUAGUAGAAUCUUUAUCACCACCAGAAAGAUCAAGAAUAGGGGGAAGUACCACAUUUUCAUCAUCAUAAUUCUUACGAGGAUCAUUUUGCCUUCUCGUGAAUAGUGUAGCUGGGGUGUGUGUCCUACCUAGGGGUUGCUGCACUCAAGGUAGUGAGACCUUGCACCCCAAUCUCCUCACUUAUGGCUUGAAUGUUGAAAGAGGUUCUCUUGGAGGUUGGUAAGUCUUCAAAUAAGUUCUCAUCAAUGAAUGCACUUCUAUUUACUAGGAGAGUAACUUUUGAGGAGAAGGGAUUUUGGAGGAAAAGUUCAAAUCUUGGUCUGAAGGAACUGGUUGGUUGGAAGUUUGGUCUAUGGAGGGGUUGUUCUAAGGAGAAUUUUUAGAGAUAUGGUGUUUAGAGUAGUCAAUGUUGGGGUAUUGAUAACGGAAAAACCAUGAAACUCAAAAACCAGUCAAGAACACAAGGGAAAACGAUAACAAGAUACAAAAACAACUACGGUAGUAACACACAAUAAACCGAGAAUGGGAGACAAGAAACAAAAACAACAAUGCAAUAAUGUCAAGAUAGGCAAGAUGACAUAAAAUCUUAUGAAACAAUGAGAACCAACACACAUAUCAAAUGCAGAGACCCUCAAAGUCGUAAUAAUCAAACACCAAUCUUCUUACGGUGACCACUAAGGGAAUCAACUCCACUUAAAACCACCAUUUCUAAGGAAAAUAUCAAUAUUGGCUUUUCUAAGUCCUACACUAACAACUUGGAUUUACCAAGCCCUACACUAAAGGUGUUACACUCUCAAAGAGAGAAGUAGUCUUUCACAAUAUCAUCAUUAAUAAACUAAAGAGAAAAUGACCUAAUAGAAGAAUAUAGAUAGGCUAGAUUAUUACAUAACAAAAAUGACCACAAUACCCUUAAUGAAAGGGGUAGCCAUGAAGUGUCUUUCCAACAAGUGUAAUCCCCGAAAUACCAUUAAUGAAGGGUGAUUCUUCAAUGCUCCACAACCGUGGGGUCAUGCUUCAACACUUGUGGUCUCAGGUUGGUAUCAAAGGUAAGCCCCCACUCAAUCUUCCACAUACGGAUUUGCCUUAUGUCAUGCCCAAAAUGGGUCAUCCAUGUAUGUUCUUGUGUCCAUGAGGUGACCAAGUCUCGAGUCUUUAUGCAUUGGCAUACAAUGAUGUGUUCAAUAGAAUAGAUGGCCAUUUGGCUCGUAUCAUCCUCCCCUUCUUGAAAAGAAUUCAACCUCGAAUCCAUACCUUGCAAAACUAAAGAAAGGACAAGCAAGCACAACUUUCUCAUGGCAUGAGGGUUAAAGUUAGUAUAACAAAUGACAUCAUCAUGCCAAGGUGGUAUAUACUCGAGAUAUAACCAUGAAUCCUUUGUCUUAGUCAUGAAAAGUUUAGUAAGAAUAUUACAAAGUAAAUGGCUAAGACAAGUAUCAAGAGAUAAAUAAACUACAAAGGUUUUAAUGGUAUCACUAAGUCCAAAAGAUAAGGCUACCCUUGUCUUAGGAAUCAUAAAGCACAAUUGUUUCAUUACCUCUUCAAGUGGCCUCUUCAAACGUGGUGCUACCAUUGGUCUCAAAGUACACCAAUCCCACAUAGCAUUGUCACUCAAACAAGUGGACCAACCAAUAAGACCUUUACCUCUACUUAAUGGAAACCCAAAACUAGCAUGGAUGUCAUCAUAGACAAAGAAGUAGUAUAGGAAAAAAUCAAGUGUAAAGACAUGCAUGGGUGAAGACAGAAUUUAAGCACAUACACUCUCUUUCCUUCAAACAAUAGACAACUUGGCAUCCAAAAGUUGGGAUUCAUGCAAUUUAAGCACAAGCGUGUCAAGCAAGGAUGCACAUUUAGAAAUAUUACCCCAAUGAGUCAAUGACACCUUUGCCCUCAGGUUGUCAAGAAGGACUACACAUUCCUUACCCUUAAGAGUACUCUCAUCUUUCAAAAAGAGAUUUCCACCUUUAGAAGGAUUGUUGUCACACCAUACUGGGUUAGCGUAUAGGCUAUAGCCUUCAAGACAAUCUAUACCAUCAUUCUUACCACUAGAUUCAUUGGGAGUGAUUAUACCAUCUUCAAACAAGACAUUAUAUCUAAAAAAGAGCAUGAUCUAUUCUGCAGGUAGAUUAAGAAUAAGUAAGUUCACUCUCUAAAAGUUCAUUAUCAAGUUUUAAAGAUGUUUCAAGCACAUGAUUAUCCUUAUGAGCCAAGCAAAUAUUAUAAUCAAAGGGCAAGCUCAGGGGUUCACUCCUAUUCCUUUGAUCAAUAUUUUCAACAUCAUUAUACACUUGAGAUUCAUUAAUCACAUCACGCACAUCCUCAAGUGGUGGGAAAUUUUCACACAUUAGUUGAUCAACACAAAUUUUACAAGACGAUGUACUUUCAUUUAACACAAUGGUUUUAACCUAGGUGGACAUAAAUUGAUCUUACAAGAAGAGUCGAUUCAGUCAUCAAAAGGAUAAACUAGUAUAUCCAUACUCACAACAUGUACAUCAUCAUCAAGUGGCAAAGAAACAAUAGACUCACAUAUAGGCAAGCUACACCUCACACUCAAUGGGAUACUAGCCACACAAUUAUCAUUCACAUGCACAAAAGUGCAAGAUUUAGCUAUUUUACCUUGAAGUUCUUGAGUAGAUUUUUGUUUGCUGUGGUGUGAAGGUUCCUCGCAUGCUUUGGCAGCAACUUCUCUUUGGCCUUGUGCUCGCCCUCUUGCCAUGUUGGUACCUGAAGAAAUGUCCUUAGAAAUAAAAGGACAAAUAUAGUUAGCUCGGUUUGGUGGCAAUCCCCUCACUUUUACUCCUCACAACCUCUCUUUUUUUCACUCUCGGAUUUCCACCUUGCACACCCUUACUCCUCUAAAUCUUUUGUCUCUCAUAGUAAUUUGGAUUGGAGUAGGUGAACACUUCUCUUUGCGGCUUGGGCAGAAUAGAUGUAAUGAGAUAAUUUCCCCAUUAGUCUCUUACAACAAUAGGCCAAUUUUGCACAUUUGAAACUUUAUGUUGUGAAAACCAAUCGGCACCUAAUCUUACAUGAACAUAUGUCAAGGGAAAAAUAUCGCACCAUACCUCCUCAUGGUAUUUAAAUUGGGAGAAGACAACCUUUACCCUCUCGGUAACCUUAAACCCGUUCAAGGAAUAUGGAACAAGUAAAGGUUAUUGAAACAACCCCAAUAAUCAACCAUGGAUGGAAGGAUGUAGUUUUUAUAGCACCUAUCAUCUAGAAUGAUGAGGCAUCCUAGUACCCCAUAAAUGAUCACCUUUCCGAAGUGAACAUUCCUUCUUGGAUCAACAUUGUAAGGCACAUGAUCACCCUUCGACUUUAGAGAUGCAUACCCUCUUCUUCUCAUGGACAACCUCUACUAUAACUAGUAUAACCAUUCAAACCAUGUCAACCUUGAUAAGAAGUACUACAAGUUGAAGAAUAUGAAUUUUCACACUCCACAUGUGAACUUCACCAUAGCUCUCAUAAGCUUUGCAAAUGAAACGGUUAUACCUUGCACCAAUUCUAGUUUCGGUUUGGGAAGUGUAAGAACCUGCAUACGUCCCAACUUCAUCAUAAGGACCAUCACAAGGCUCUUCAUCAUCUCCAUGUUCACCAUAAGCACUAGACACUUCAUUCACCUCAUUUUCCCCUUGAAAACCGUAACCCUCAAAUCUGUCCGUGCCUUGACCAUAGCUAUUUUCAUAGGCACUAUAAUCUCCAACAACUUCGUAGCCAUAAAAUCUCUCACUACAAUCAUAGUCUCCUAUGUAGUAGUCAUAAUAAUCUGCGGCUAUCAAAGACAUGUUCCCUUAUAAUACCUUGUACCUACAAAAUGAACAAACAAGAUUAGUGGUAAAAUCUCCUCACCAACACUCGUAUGCACUCACCUUUAUGAUCCUCAUAAUUGGAGCGACGAAUAUUGAAAGUUGCUUAUACUUCGGUAGUCAAUAAGAUGUCAAUCCUACUUAGCAGCCGGAAUAGAUUCUUAUUUGAUCGACUUAAGACACAAAAAAUAAAUCAGCUUACGGACUUGAAACAAAAAAAUUAUGACGAAUUAAAAAUGAGAAAAGCACACAUAUAAUGAAGACAUGAUGAAUUCAAAACUAAUUCACAAUCUAGUAGGUGAUUACUAGUUGCUAAUUAGUAUUAGAAUCAAGAAAUGAAACUAAUGAAACAAAGAAAAGAAAUUUAGAAUCUAAAUUUGAGCUUCAAGGUAUUUGGAACGUUAAUGAUGUGGCACUUCGAUGACGAGGUAGUUUGGUGAUGUGGCAGUUUUUUUUUCUUGUUGAGAAUUUGAAUUGGUCAAAUUUAAUUUGGAAGCGUGGAAAUUCGGUUUUGGUAGGGAACAAACAAGACUUGGAGACUUUUUCAAAUUUAAAAAAGGUUUGACCUUCCUUGCACCUUUUUGGCUAAAAACCUUUAUGAAAGACUUUUGGCUUUUUCCUUUUUUGUAUGUCUUGGAAAAUGCCCCUUUCUCUUUUUUGUCAACAACACUUUUUGAAAGCCUUUUGUCUACUUUCUUCUUUGGUGUUGUCUUGAAAUUUUUUUCCAGCCAAAAAAAAGAACACACCUUAUUUCCACUUUAUUCAAGAUCAAACAACACAUUUGGAGUGUUCUUGGUUAACAAUUUAUCAACAUGGUGAAGAACACCAAGAACACUCAAAGUGCAUCUUAAGAAAAUAACCUCCAAAUUGAAUGAAUUUUGAAUUUUUCAAACAUACAUGAUCUCCCAAAUAACAAUACCACAAUUUCAAGACCAAUUCUCAACCACAACGACAACACAUGGCUCAAGCUCAAGUCCUCAACUACAACAACAACCUACCCAAAAUCUAAACAUAACUAAAAAAUGUCUCAAAUUUUAGAUUUUUACUCUAUUAGUGUUAGUGAAGAAGGGACUAACACUAGAAACAACAAAAUACACAAAAAACACAAGAAAAUUAGGCUUCAAACUUCGGCCUAAACACAAAAAUGGGACAGCUUUACUAUUUUUGAGUUUUUCAGCUUUUUAACACUUUUUUGGUUGAUUUUUCGAGUGAAUAAGCCCAAGAUUGAUCUCGUGGGAAUGAAAUCAAUGAUGGCUCUGAUACCAAAUGAUAGCGGACAAACCAUGAAACUCAAAAACCAGUCAAGAACACAAGGAAAAAUGAGAACAAGAUACAAAAACAACUAUGGUAGCAACACACAAUAAACCGAGAAUGGGACACAAGAAACAAAAACAACAAUGCAAUAAUGUAAAGAUAGGCAAGAUGACAUAAAGAUCUUACGAAACAAUGAGAACCAACAUGCAUAUCAAACGAAGGGACCCUCAAAGUUGCAAUAAUCAAACACCAAUCUUCUUACGGUGACCACUAAGGGAAUCAACUCCACUUAAAACCACCGUUUCUAAGGAAAAGAUCAAUAUUGGAUUUUCCAGGCCCUACACUAAAGGUGUUACACUCUCAAUGAGAGAAGUAGUUUUUCACAAUAUCAUCAUCAAUAAACUAAAGAGAAAAUGACCUAAUAGAAGUCUAUGUAUAGGCUAGCUUAUUACAUAAUAAAAAUGACCACAAUACCCUUUAUGAAAGGGGUGGCCAUGGAGUGUCUUUCCAACAAGUGUAAUCCCCAAAAUACCCGCAAUGAAGGGUGCUUCUUCAAUACUCCAAAACCGUGGGGUCAUUCUUCAACACUUACGGUCUUGGGUUGGCAUCAAAGGUAAGCCCCCACGCAAUCUUUCACGCACGGGUUUACCUUAUGUAAUGCUCAAAAUGGGUAAUUCAUGUAUGUUGUGUCCAUGAGGUGACCAAGUCUUGAGUCUUUAUGCACUGGCAUCCAAUGAUGUCUUCAAAAGCAUAGAUGGUCGUUUGGCUCGUAUCAGGUCUUCUUUCUUUUCUGAAGAAAACUUAGUUUUAGGGUUAGAACUGGCCUCAACAACAUCAUCCUUUUAUGAGAGUGGAGCAUUGGGAGUUUUUAUUUUCACUUAAGANNNNNNNNNNNNNNNNNNNNNNNNNNNNGGAAAGAGGAGUAAACUUUUUAAUGGAAAAGGACUUCUCUAGUUUAAAGUCAGAAGGGAUAGAGGGAGUAUCAAUCCCUUUUAUGAAAUAGGCUCAUCUUUUCGAGAGAAUGUGAGAGGAUUUGACAUUGUAAGAACUGAGAUAGAUAAAACAUGAUGAAAUCUCUUGGAAAUGGUUUGGGAGAUGAUAAGCUUUAUGAGAUAAACUUUUCAAAAGUGUAAGAGAAAGUUUGAUUUUGAUCUUAAAUAGGAAGGAAAGAAUGGUUCAGAUUUCAUGAAAAGUCAUGGCUGAUGAGACGUGUCUCUUAGACUUUAAGUAUGAGUUACAACUUUUAAUAAGAGGAAGGAGAGUGAUGUGGCACACACAUUUUCACACCCUUUUUUUGACCAAAAAGAUUAGAUUUUAAGUUUCAAAAAUAUUUUAAUUAUUAAGUGACAAAAGAUGAAAGUUUGUUUUGAAAAAGGAUUAUUUAUAUUCAAAACUCAGAGUCUCCACUUGACAUAAUCGGGUGUGCCAAGUCACCUUUGGAAAAUCCUUUUCAAAAUGAUUUGACUCUUUAAACUGGUUUGUGAACAGAGAUUCCGCUAAGGAAUUUUGUUGACCGAGGGGAAGGUGUUAGGCACCUCUCGAUCCCGUGGUUCGACCACAGUCGCUUGGUGGAUUAUAUCGGCUAAUUUUGAUACUAAGAAUGUAUAAACCACAUAAAAGCAUACAAAACAAUCAAUAAAACCAACAAAACAAAAAAAUCCAUAAUAUAAUGUUCAGUCCGAGUUAUGCAGUCCCAAAAUAGAAAAAUAUGAAAAUAUAAAUCCUAUUCUAAACUAAUCCUAGACUAAACUCCAAUUCUUUACCCGAUGCCUCAGGCCUUCAUCACGAACCUCCUUUGCAUACAUGAUACGUCGGGGCAUUCCUCGGUAAGUAAACACAAGUGAUGGCGGGGCAUUCCCCGAUUAAAUGAAUACAUUUUCAAAUGCAAGAACUAAAACCAAACCAUUCAACUCAAAUUCCAUAUUCAAACAUUCAACAAGAAAAUUUAUUUCUAAAUUUGCCUACCCGAACCUACGUUUGCCUAUCCAUUUCAAUAUAUCAUAAUUCUAUCAUGUUCAACAUUAUCAAUGCACCAAAAUUAAUCAAUAUUUAUUUUUUCCUCUGUUUUUAAUCCAUGCCCUCAAAUUUCAUUCUAAACCAGCAAUUACUCAAUUCCGACAUAAACUCAACUAAUCAAGACACGAUAAUUAUGAGAAAAACUCAAAUACGCAUUCAAAUAUAUCAAUCAAGUCAUAUCAUCAAACACGCUAAAAUAAUAAAUAGUAGGGUUCAGAAUUUGGACCUCCAAAUAGACGAUUUCUGUUGAUAAUAAUGUUUAAGAGAGUCCGAGCUUGUAAAAUCCUCGAUAAAUCCCCAACAACUAACCAACCAACUCGAUAUCAAGAAUAGUAAACUCGAACAGGUUUAAACCCGAGACAGAGGAAAUAUCAAACAAAAUGAGAUCGAAGUUGCCAAAGAGACCAAGAAACCCGCAUACCAAAACUCACUAGAGUUAAUCCUACUCGCAAGAAUCCACUCAAAAGAAAAUGACACAACACUGUCUUUAUUCGCUGGAACAGUCAAACAUACAACGAAUCUUGUGGUUCUCCCCUCUCCUCGAUGUUCUCUAUUUCUCUGACUAUUUUUUCUCCCAAAUCUUUCCACUCUUUCUCAAUUAAGCUCGAUCUCUCUUUCUCUCUCUCUCCCGAGCUCGAUCUCUUUUUCUCUCUCCCUCUCCCAAGCUUGAUCUCUCUUUCUCUUCACUCUUAAUCUCUCUCUCUCCCAUCUCCCUACUGUCAUGCCAUUUCAGUAGAUGUAGGUGUGAUUGUGUGUAUGCAUGAAUAUGAGAAUAAAUAGAAUUGAGUGUUCUCUCCCCUGUUUUCUUUCACUGGUUUGUGUGAGUGAGAGUAUGUGGUUUUUGUGGAGAAGAUAAGUGGAGAAGAAUGGUGUGUGUGCCUAUGAAUUCUGGUGCUUGAGAGUUUGUACGUACUCAGCGAGGGAGUAUCCCGUGGAGAGAGUUGUGUUUCUAUAUCUAUUAGUGAGGUCUGGUAUAAAAUGGGAAUGGUGAGGUGUUGUGUGGUGAAAAAAUUCCAGUGGGGCCCAUGAGUGAAAAAUGCAUAUUGUAUUUAUUGUUAAUGGAAAAAGG
rnacentral:lncRNA from 1 species